GUACACUCCUGCGGGAGGCAGCAGUGGGGAAUAUUGGACAAUGGGCGCAAGCCUGAUCCAGCCAUGCCGCGUGAGUGAUGAAGGCCCUAGGGUUGUAAAGCUCUUUCACCGGUGAAGAUAAUGACGGUAACCGGAGAAGAAGCCCCGGCUAACUUCGUGCCAGCAGCCGCGGUAAUACGAAGGGGGCUAGCGUUGUUCGGAUUUACUGGGCGUAAAGCGCACGUAGGCGGACUAUUAAGUCAGGGGUGAAAUCCCGGGGCUCAACCCCGGAACUGCCUUUGAUACUGGUAGUCUUGAGUUCGAGAGAGGUGAGUGGAAUUCCGAGUGUAGAGGUGAAAUUCGUAGAUAUUCGGAGGAACACCAGUGGCGAAGGCGGCUCACUGGCUCGAUACUGACGCUGAGGUGCGAAAGCGUGGGGAGCAAACAGGAUUAGAAACCCUGGUAGUCCCA
rnacentral:rRNA from 1 species